rnacentral:sRNA from 1 species
GGCCGGGGUGCCAGCGCCCGCCUUCCCGUUUCCUCCCGUUCCGCAGCGCGCCCACGGCCUGUGACCCCGGCGACCGCUCCCCAGUGACGAGAGAGCUGGGCCGGGCGCUGCUCCGGCCUGACCUGCGAAGGGACCUCGGUCCAGUCCCCUGUUGCGCCGCGUCCCCUGUCCGUCCGUGCGCGGGCCAGUCAGGGGCCAGUGUCUCGAGCGGUCGAGGUCGCAGACCUAGAGGCGCCCCACAGGCCGGCCCGGGGCGCUGGGAGCGCCGGCCGCGGGCCGGGUGGGGAUGCCUCUGCACGUGAAGUGGCCGUUCCCCGCGGUGCCGCCGCUCACCUGGACCCUGGCCAGCAGCGUCGUCAUGGGCUUGGUGGGCACCUACAGCUGCUUCUGGACCAAGUACAUGAACCACCUGACCGUGCACAACAAGGAGGUGCUGUACGAGCUCAUCGAGAACCGAGGCCCGGCCACGCCCCUCAUCACCGUGUCCAAUCACCAGUCCUGCAUGGACGACCCUCAUCUCUGGGGGAUCCUGAAACUCCGCCACAUCUGGAACCUGAAGUUGAUGCGUUGGUGAGGAGGAAUGGGCCCCUCGAAGUGGGCCGGGCCGGCCCCACCUGCCUCUGCCCAGAUUUGCCCUCCUCCUGCUCUGCCCAGGAGGUGGCGUCCAGCAGUCCAGGCAGGGCAUGGGGUGGGGCCCCGCAGGCCCUCCCCUGUGCCUCCCUUCUGCAUGCUGAUGCUGGGGGCAGGGUGGUGGAGCCGGGUGCAGGGGGCAGGACUAAUUGCAUCUGUCCCUGCUUAGGACCCCUGCAGCUGCAGACAUCUGCUUCACCAAGGAGCUACACUCCCACUUCUUCAGCUUGGGCAAGUGUGUGCCUGUGUGCCGAGGUGAGCUGCUCCUCCAGCGAGUGCAGGGAGGCACUUCUGGGGCAGGAAAGCUGGUGGCCAGUGUCUCUGUUUUGGAGGGACCUAUGGGGGUAGGCAUCCCGG